rnacentral:lncRNA from 1 species
GAAUUUAAUGCCCAAGGAGCGAAGAAGUUUCCAAAAUAUUUUGAGCUUUUUUGAGCGACAGUCCGUCAAAUAACGAGUUAUUGAGGCAACAUGACGAGUAGGAAAGGAUACUACGCUAACAGGGAUGCUUCGAAAGUGUAUCAAAGUGUAUCUAUUUUAUUGUUUUCCUCGAUGGAGAGCGCAUCCAUUUCUGCGUCUGCCCAUGAAUGGCCAUGAUAUACCUGCAUUCUCAAGCUUCUACCAAAGGUUGUCAAGAAACGAAUCCAAGAAGGAUUGGAGAUUGCUCCCAACAUAGCUGCAAUGUUGAUCCUUCAGAGAAAUCGCUUGUUUUAAAGCCCAUCAAUCGAGGUUUUAAUGACUAUAAAAUUUUCUAUAUUACACUAUUUCACUAUCGUUAAUAUAUAGUUACGAACUGUUUAUCUAUUUUAUUUACAAACUGAAACCCAUAAUAUAAUUAUAAAGGCCUAAAGAUAUGAUACUCGUGAGUAGUGAGUUGUCGAUGAAAAAAUAAUGAACAAUUUGGACUUUUGGAUGACUGUUUAUAUAGACGUGUUAUUGUCACUUGUCAGACUGUGGUCAGAGUGAUAAUCUACUUGGCUGUGGCAGUGCGUUAAUUACUGUCUUUGACUGUCUGCUCAUGGACAACUUGUGCUCACUUAAAACUUAAUAGAAACACAUCAAAAAUUUUCUCUGAUCAAAGUUAAAGUAGAUUUUAAUUUGAUCAAAACACAUAACAGUUUAAAUGCCUUUUAGUUGCUCUGAAGUUACAGUACUUGACCUAGUGGGGUGUUUAUAUGGAGGCAAGCCAGCUCGGGUGCCUGAGCUAGCUCGGGUGCCUGAGCUAGCUCGCUUGGCCGAGAUCUAAUGUUGCUAGAUAAUUUAUACUAAUAUUCGUAUUGUGUGUAUAUGAAAACUAGGCUGGCUUGCCUAAGCGAGAUCUUGUUUAAUUUGUGAAGCCCGACAGAGCCCCAGAUCUCGCCUAGGUUGGCUGGUUUGCCUAAGCCGCUGAAUACGAAUAUAUUGCCAAUUACUAAUUGUAGUAAAUAAGACUUUCUCAACAGAUUUUAAAUCUAUAGUUUUAAAAAUUAAUGCCUCUGUGAACAGUUGUGACGGUCAUAACCAUGACAGUUUCUCGCAAUGAUUUGUUUUGGUGCCAGCCUGCUACAUGAUGAAAUUAGCUAGGCAAAGACACCUAGCUCAGGUAACCGGGCUGGCUUGCCUCCAUAUAAACACCCCUAAGACAUUUAGUUUAUAAAAGAUUUUGAUCACAAAUACUUAUAUGAUGUAAACAAACUCAACUAAUAAUUACUAGUAUAUUUUCCGCCCUAGUUGUAAGUAAAGCUUGCAUAUAAGAACCUACUGUAUAUAAGGGCCUGUCAGGCUAAUUUUUCAGUAUUUAUACACCCAAUCUGUUUAGGCUAGUGUUUCAGGUUCUUAUUUUAUCACAUGGAGACCAGUAAGAUCUAAAAAUGUAUAAAAAUCAAAGAGAAUAAACUCUUCACAAAGUAAUGAAAAUGAUCCAGAACCCUGAAAAUGUCAUUAAGAUAAAUAAAGUCUAAAUUUACAGUGCAUACAGCUUUGUAUAAGUGCAUAUAUACUGGCAUUUUUAGAUGAUCAUGACUGAUAUAGUUACUAUACAAUUGUCUUGUCCAAAAGUGGGGUCUGGGGGUUUGAAAUCAGAGCUUUCUUUCUCCUAGAUGAUUGCCAGCCAAGGCUUAUGAGCUCCAUCUACACAAAGCAAUCUGGUUUUAAGGUGCCAGACACUUGCCAGUUCAUAUUGUACUAUAAUUGCCUGAUUUUGUGUCACAAAGAGUGGCACCAUGCCAUUAUCUAUGUUGCCAGAACAGGCUGCCGUGCAUGGUCUGUUUUGGGACAAAAUUAGACAACACAGUAAAACCCUGCGAAUAAGAACCUAGAUUUUUUCCAAGUUAGCCUAAACAGGUUCUUAUGUAAAUGGUACUUAUCUGAUUGUUCAUGUUACAAACGUACUGUAAUUAUAUUUAGUAGUUAUAUUCAGUAUUCUCAGGGGGCAUAUAAAGGCUAUAAAUAAAGCCCUGGAGUCAUGUUUGUGCUUUACCCCUUGGAGUUCUCCUUUAAUGUCUGUAUAUAUAUAUUGCCAUAUAACCCAAUAAAUCUGUUGAAAAAAAGAAAGAUUCGUUGAUGUAAAUCAAAAGUUCAUCAGUGUUUCCUGGGCAUUCUGAUGAGCUCUGAUAUAGAGCGAAACAAGCAUAUAUUUAGCAAUUGUCCUCCGUCUUGAAGAGACAUGAUGAAGUAACCUGAUCACCAGAAUUGUUCAAGCUAAUAUUAGAUCAUUCAGUGUCACAAGAAUAUCAUCAUUUAGUGUCAAUAUGAGAGUAAUAUCAAUGAAUUCAUACUUCCAGUUCAUAAUUUCAAAACAUACAUUUUUAUAACACAAAAAAGUUGAAUAUAAUCUUAGCGUCUCGUAUUCUCGUCAUUGUCAAUCUAUUGAACUCUUCUGUUGUUUAUAUUAAAACAGCAUCCAAAAUUAUCUCCAUAGCGCGCACGAGCUUGAACAAAAGCUGUUUAUCCAGCUUUUGCACGGUCAAAAAUUUCGCCCUUGGCUUUGCCACGAAGACAGGAACUGCAGCCACAUUCUCAAUCACACUUGUUUCGAAUUUCGUCAAGCGAAAAGCUUUCCCCAAGUGCUUCUGUCAUAAUGACAACAACAACUCUGGCAACAUGUUUCGAGGGAUUGAUACCGCAUGAACUAUUUUCGUGAUUAGACACAAACUCCAAAGGUAAACACUAAACACAAAUUAUUCGAACUCACACCUUCGGGAUUUCGGUUCGCCGCCCCAGCUGUUGAUAUAGCAAGCCACACAAGGUUCAAAGCGGCCUCUUUAUUCACAAUGUUUACAGUUAAAACGUUACAGUAUAAGAUUGUGUUAUAGUGUACAAAAAUUUCAAGUGUAGAAAUGUAAAAGAAAUGCAGCGAAGUAUUGUAAAACAUUGCACUCCUCGGUCACAAAUUAUGUGGAAUGUUACUUUAAACUCGUCA